rnacentral:tRNA from 1 species
GUUAGCGUGGUCGAGAGGUUAAGACGCUACGUUCAGGUCGUAGUCUUCGUAAGAGGGCGUGGGUUCGAAUCCCACCGCUAACA